GACGAACGCUGGCGGCGUGCCUAAUACAUGCAAGUAGGACGCAGUUGCGAACGGGUGAGUAACGCGUAGGUAACUACCUAUUAGAGGGGGAUAACUAUUGGAAACGAUAGCUAAUACCGCAUACUAGUAGAUGGACCUGCGUUGUAUUAGCUAGUAGGUAGGGUAAUGGCCUACCUAGGCAACGAUACAUAGCCGAGCGGACACGGUGGUCGGUCAGACGGGGAAUGAGACACGGCCCAGACGCCUCCGGGCGACAGACGCAGGGAAUCGUCGGCAAUGGGGGGAAACUUGACAGAGCAACGCAGCGUGAGCGAAGAAGGUUUUCUGAUCGUAAAGCUCUGAUAUAAAGGAAGCGGAACUUAACCAGAAAGGGACGGCUAACUACGUGACAGCAGCCGCGGUAAAAG
rnacentral:rRNA from 1 species